rnacentral:lncRNA from 1 species
UCGCAUCCAGUGUCUCCACUGCCGCCGCUCUUACUUGUCGGGAAGACACGCGGCGGCGGCGGCUAGUUGUUGUGGCGCGUGUGGCUGUACAGGUGGUGGAUUUGAGGCCGGAGAAAGCAGGAAGGGAGACAAGAGAGAGACGGCUGUCACGGAGGUGGUCAAUGGCAUUGUGAGAGACGGCUCUAGCCAAAAGGGCUUGAGAGAGAGUUAGAGAAGAAGUGGAAGCCAUUCCUGAAUUCUGAAACUCUCUCAGUCUCUCUCUCUGG